CCCAGCGUAGGCCUUUGUGCACACGAUUCAGUAGAUUGUGCCCAGGAGUUAGCUAUAUCACACCCACAAAAUAGUUUAACAUGCAAGCUUUUACUAUCUAGUGGGAACUAUUUAAAAAUAAAUCCCAUGUCACUUCUGAGGCUCAGCAGAGCUACUUGUCUCCACAUCAAAGCUUCUUUUGUUACAUAGUUAUAUAGGCCGAAAAGAGACAUGCUGCUAUCAAGUUCAGCCUUUGUCACAUCUGUUUUUGCUGUUGAUCCAAAAGAAGGGAAAAAAACAUUUUGAAGCACUUACCAUUUUUACAAAAAUAUUAGGAAAAUUUUUCUUCUCAACCCCAGAAUGGCAGUCUGAUAGUUCCUUGCAUCAAGAAGCUGUUACCAUACCUAUUAGAAAAUUAUAUUCCUGAAUAUUAUACUUUUGCAAAUAUUAAUCCAGUUGCUGUUUAAACAUCUGUAUCAGACACUGAUAACCCCACCAUAUCAUGCAGAAAAUUCAACAUGUUCUUAGUGUAAAAAAAAAAAUAAAGUCCUUUCCUUUGUCUCAUACUAAA